rnacentral:rRNA from 1 species
UACGUAGGGGGCAAGCGUUAUCCGGAUUUACUGGGUGUAAAGGGAGCGCAGACGGAAAUGCAAGUCUGAUGUGAAAGCCCGGGGCCCAACCGCAGGACUGCACCGGAUACUGCAUGUCUGGAGUGCCGGAGGUGCAAGCGGAACUCCUGGUGUAGCGGUGAAAUGCGUAGAUAUCAGGAGGAACACCGGCGGCGAAGGCGGCUUGCUGGACGGCAACUGACGUUGUGGCUCGAAAGCGUGGGGAGCAAAC